AAGUGGGCUGGGAGGGUCAUUAACUCUUACAUAAGAAUUUAAUAGCAACGGAUUCAGUCGUCCUGCCUGCCAAAUGCCUCCCUCGCUGCCAGGGCGGAGGAAGUGGGAGAAUCAGAAUUAUUCUGGGUGGCUCAACAAGUGUUUAUGAGGCGCCGAUGGUGUGCCAGGCAUUUGGAGGGGACGAUGGGAGACGCACGUGAACAUGAAGGAAGUAAUGCUCUCUGCACUCCAAGUUCACACCACGGUGGGAAAGAGAGCAGGGAGACAGAUUGGUCCUCCUGUCUCUUUAAGAAGGGUUUACUCGGCCCUCCCUGGUGGCACAGCGGGUUAAAGCACUGGACUGAGAAGCUAAA